GAUGAACGCUGGCGGCGUGCUUAACACAUGCAAGUCGAACGGUGAAGCAGGAGCUUGCUCUUGUGGAUCAGUGGCGAACGGGUGAGUAACACGUGAGCAACCUGCCCCUGACUCUGGGAUAAGCGCUGGAAACGGCGUCUAAUACUGGAUAUGUGAUGUGACCGCAUGGUCUGCAUCUGGAAAGAAUUUCGGUUGGGGAUGGGCUCGCGGCCUAUCAGCUUGUUGGUGAGGUAAUGGCUCACCAAGGCGUCGACGGGGAGCCGGCCUGAGAGGGUGACCGGCCACACUGGGACUGAGACACGGCCCAGACUCCUACGGGAGGCAGCAGUGGGGAAUAUUGCACAAUGGGCGGAGGCCUGAUGCAGCAACGCCGCGUGAGGGAUGACGGCCUUCGGGUUGUAAACCUCUUUUAGCAGGGAAGAAGCGAAAGUGACGGUACCUGCAGAAAAAGCACCGGCUAACUACGUGCCAGCAGCCGCGGUAA
rnacentral:rRNA from 1 species